GUGCUCACUUUGGCAGCACAUAUACUAAAAUUGAAACAAUACAGAAAAGAAGAUUAGCACAGCCCUUGCGCAAGGAUGACCUAGUGUGCAUGCAGGAUGUCUUCACCAGCUCU
rnacentral:snRNA from 1 species